rnacentral:rRNA from 1 species
AUUGAACGCUGGCGGCAGGCCUAACACAUGCAAGUCGAGCGGAUGAAGGGAGCUUGCUCCUGGAUUCAGCGGCGGACGGGUGAGUAAUGCCUAGGAAUCUGCCUGGUAGUGGGGGAUAACGUCCGGAAACGGGCGCUAAUACCGCAUACGUCCUGAGGGAGAAAGUGGGGGAUCUUCGGACCUCACGCUAUCAGAUGAGCCUAGGUCGGAUUAGCUAGUUGGUGGGGUAAAGGCCUACCAAGGCGACGAUCCGUAACUGGUCUGAGAGGAUGAUCAGUCACACUGGAACUGAGACACGGUCCCGACUCCUACGGGAGGCAGCAGUGGGGAAUAUUGGACAAUGGGCGAAAGCCUGAUCCAGCCAUGCCGCGUGUGUGAAGAAGGUCUUCGGAUUGUAAAGCCCUUUAAGUUGGGAGGAAGGGCAGUAAGUUAAUACCUUGCUGUUUUGACGUUACCAACAGAAUAAGCACCGGCUAACUUCGUG